AUAGAAUUUUAUAUUAACUUUACCUAGCGGUUAAUGCUGGUUUUUUGUUAAUAUUUGGUUGGGAGGAUUAUUAAAUUUAACAAACUUUAUAUCAUUAUAAACUUUGAUUUAAGAAAAUAUAAUGACCUUCAAUUUGAAAUAGUUAGAGUAAAUUACCUUAGGGAUAACAGCGUAAUAUUUUUUUAUAGACCUUAUAGAAAAAAAUGGUUGCGACCUCGAUGUUGAAUUAAGAUAAAUUUUAAAUGCAGGAGUUUAAUAAUUAAGUCUGU
rnacentral:rRNA from 1 species